rnacentral:lncRNA from 1 species
GUCCACCGACACCGGUUAAUUUUCAUAGGGGCAUAACCCUACCAAUGAGUCGUUGAAUCUUUUCGAUCCAAAUGUAACGAAGAACCGGGGUCUGGUCCUGAACAAAUUUCACCCUUCGUUUAUUUUCUACCUAUUACGGUUACGGUGUUGGAACGAUAACAAGGUUUUUUGGUUUCGGAGGAAUUACUCCGAACCGACAAAAUAUUUCGACUAACAGGGUGAGUUCUAGAUAGGUAUAUAUGACACCGAUACAAAGUGUGAACAUGAAAG